GCAGACACUUGCUGGUUAGUCAUAUACACACUCCUUUUGUUUUCCACCUAGGUACAUGGCUGAGUCACACUUCCCAGCCUCCCUUGCACCAAGUCCCCACAUCCACCCUCAGCAAAUCCUGUCAGCCUCAUCUUCAAGCUACAUCCAGAGUCCAACCACUUCAAACCAUCGUCACUGCCACCCCUGUCAUCACUUGCCUGGAUUCCGGUACUCGACUUCAAAGUCAUAGAGAUUCCUCUUGGAGAUGCCAAGGGCUGGGCAGGAGAGCUUGGCCAGGCGGCACAGGUCC